UCUACUCUCUUCUCACAUCCGUGCUCUCAUUCUCUUCUCUCUUUUGGCGGUGAGAUCCGUUUUUCUCACCGUUUCUUCUCAUCAUCCAGAUCUGGUUGGUGCCGUCCAUAUCCGUUGGAGAUUCGUUGGUGGUGUGGGUGUUCGUGUUGUGGUGGUGUGGCGGUGGUGGUACGCCGAUGGUGCGGUGAUCAUUCGUGGGUGGAGAAAGUUGCUGGUGGAGAAAUGGUAAGAACACGCGGUGUAUCUUAUACUUCUCGUGGAGAGAGUUCUUGAGAGGAGAGUUCUGCACAAGGCGAAGCUAGGAGACGACCUACAACUUCGGCUCGAAGAAGGCGUGGAGCUCCUAUUCAUGAUGACCCUAUUGCUGAGGAUCGAGCGACUGAGGAGGAGGCAUAUCAGGCCUAUGAGGAUGAUGUUCAGGAGGAGGCCUAUGAGGGUGAUGUUCAGGAGGAGGCAUUUGAAGCCCCUGACCACGAUGAUGAUGAGGAAGAGCAUGCGGAUGUUGGUGCCAUAGAAGAGGAUAUCGGUGAUUUCCUGGAGGUCCACGUGAUGCUUCAUUGCUUAUGGUAUUUCGCAAGGCCGGGAUCGAGGGGACAUGCUGAAGUUGAUCUCGCACGAUAAAAAAGUGAAUAAGUUAGGAUCGUGCGCCGAGGGAAUUCAACACAUUGUGUUGAAUUCCUCUUUGAUGCCUCUCAUAGAGAUUUGGUAUGAUUAUGUUGAUAAGGGCUUCUUGCUUGGUUUCAUAGAGAGAUGACAUUUUGAGACGAGUAGUUUCCAUCUCCCUGUAGGGGAGAUGUCGAUCACUCUUGACGAUGUGUCGAUGGUGACGAUCCAUCGACGGAUAUCAACAUCCGUUGAAGGGAGAACGGAUGUUGACAUCCGUAACUCCUUCAGCGGAUGUUGAUAUCCGUCGACGGAUCAUCACAUCCGUUGAAGGAUUAACAUAACUCUUUUCACGUACCUGAGACGAAGCUCCCUCUGCUGCUCCGAUAACCACCACCACAAACCCGAGCUCUCACCAUCGAGGUUCCUUGCACCACUUGCAACAUUCCACCAGCACAGCCCACCACCACACCGACUCACACCACCAUCACAAUCUCACACGACGCACAGACUCACACCACCACCACAAUCUUGCCAAGAAGAAGAAGAAACGAAUAAAUGAUUUUUGUGUGAAAGUUUGUGGUGUGGGGGUGCAUUCUUAUAGAUGGGAUCAGUAAUUAAUGAAAUAGGUUAAUAUUGGUGAAAAUUUACUCCGAAACAAAUUUGUCACGAAGAGGUGUAGGGAGUAUUUAGUGGCGGUGGAGGGAACUCUCUAAUGCUGGUGGUGCUUAGAGCUUAUUGGGUUCAGAUUUUACUUACAAUCUUUAUAUAUAUAUAUAGGCUGGUGGU